CAAAAAUUAAAAAGUAUCAAACUACCACUCAAAAUGAAAAAAAAAGGUAGAUCCAGAAAAUCUGAUUUAUCAGUAAUAGGAAUUUCAAAUAAAAAGGGGAAAUUAUCAUCAUCAAAUAAGAUAUUACCAAUUAAAAUGGGCAUCCACUCACAACCAAAUUUAACACUUGUCGAAAACCCAAAAUUGAGCUCUAUUUUAUCAUCAAACAGCAAAAUAAUAUUACCUAUCAAAAUGGGCCUAUACUCACAACCAAAUAAGACUUUUGUUAAAAAUGCAAUGACAAAAGAUACUAACAAUAUACCCCAAACCUUAAAAUUUAC